rnacentral:rRNA from 1 species
GCGCAGCAGGCGAGAAACCUUCGCAAUGCAGGAAACUGCGACGAGGGAACUCCAAGUGCCUACGCUCAGCGUAGGCUGUUCUCAAGCCUAGAAAGCUUGAGGAGUAAGGGCUGGGUAAGACGGGUGCCAUCUGUGGUAGCAGUCAAUAGAUUCGAUUUGUUACUGCAAGGCAUAAGCCGCCGCGGUAAUACCCGCAGCCCAAGUGGUGGCCGCUUUUAUUGGGCCUAAAGCGUCCGUAGCCGGCCCGGUAAAUGCCUGGGUAAAUCGUGGAGCCCAACUUCACGAAUUCCGGGUAGACUGCCGAGCUCGAGACCGGAAGAGGGAGAGGGUACUUCAGGGGUAGGGGUGAAAUUCUGUAAUCCUAGGGGGACCACCAGUGGCGAAGGCGUCUAACUAGAACGGGUCUGACGGUGAGGGACGAAGCCCUGGGGCGCAAACGGGAUUAGAUACCCGCGUAGU